rnacentral:rRNA from 1 species
AAAUUGAAGAGUUUGAUCAUGGCUCAGAUUGAACGCUGGCGGCAGGCCUAACACAUGCAAGUCGAACGGUAACAGGAAGCAGCUUGCUGCUUCGCUGACGAGUGGCGGACGGGUGAGUAAUGUCUGGGAAACUGCCUGAUGGAGGGGGAUAACUACUGGAAACGGUGGCUAAUACCGCAUAACGUCGCAGGACCAAAGAGGGGGACCUUCGGGCCUCUUGCCAUCAGAUGUGCCCAGAUGGGAUUAGCUUGUUGGUGAGGUAACGGCUCACCAAGGCGACGAUCCCUAGCUGGUCUGAGAGGAUGACCAGCCACACUGGAACUGAGACACGGUCCAGACUCCUACGGGAGGCAGCAGUGGGGAAUAUUGCACAAUGGGCGCAAGCCUGAUGCAGCCAUGCCGCGUGUAUGAAGAAGGCCUUCGGGUUGUAAAGUACUUUCAGCGGGGAGGAAGGGGAUAAGGCUAAUAACCUUGUU